rnacentral:rRNA from 1 species
UACGGAGGGUGCAAACGUUGCUCGGAAUCAUUGGGCGUAAAGCGCACGUAGGUGGCCUGUUAAGUCGGGUGUGAAAUCCCUGGGCUCAACCCAGGAAGUGCACUCGAAACUGGCAGGCUUGAGUACUGAAGAGGAUCGCGGAAUUCCCGGUGUAGAGGUGAAAUUCGUAGAUAUCGGGAGGAACACCAGUGGCGAAGGCGGCUAGCUGGGCCAGUUCUGACGCUGAGGCGCGAAAGCGUGGGGAGCAAACAGG